GGUUUCCGGGCGGAGUGCUGGUGUGCGCCAUCCAUCCUUCGAGAACGCAUAUCUUCCUCACGGUUGGUAUGUUAUCUCGAUCUUUUACUUUGAAAAAAUUAGAGUGUUUAAAGCAGGCUUGCGCUAUGAAUACAUUAGCAUGGAAUAAUAAUUUAGGACUUUGGUCUUAUUUUGUUGGUUUCUAGGACUAAAGUAAUGAUUGAUAGGGACAGUUGGGGGUGCUAGUAUUCAGCGGCCAGAGGUGAAAUUCUUGGAUUCGCUGAAGACUAACUUAUGCGAAAGCAUUCACCAAGGAUGUCUUCUUUAAUCAAGAACGAAAGUUAGGGGAUCGAAGAUGAUUAGAUACCGUCGUAGUCUUAACCAUAAACGAUGCCGACCAGCGAUUGGGAGACGUUACACAUGCUGCCCCAAAAGGUAGCAUGGAGGACUCCCCCAGCAGCUUGUGAGAAAUCAUAAGUCUUUGGGUUCCGGGGGGAGUAUGGUCGCAAGGCUGAAACUUAAAGGAAUUGACGGAAGGGCACCACCAGGAGUGGAGCCUGCGGCUUAAUUUGACUCAACACGGGGAAACUCACCAGGUCCAGAUGAAAUAAGGAUUGACAGAUUGAGAGCUCUUUCUUGAUUUUUCAGGUGGUGGUGCAUGGCCGUUCUUAGUUCGUGGGGUGACUUGUCUGCUUAAUUGCGAUAACGAACGAGACCUUAACCUGCUAAAUAGCCAGGCUAGCUUUGGCUGGUCGCCGGCUUCUUAGAGGGACUAUCGG
rnacentral:rRNA from 1 species